GCUGGAUUCCCAGGAGGGACACUGGAGCCAGAGGGACUCAGCAUCAGCCUGGCCUCAGUGAGACCCUAGCAGCACCGGUGCGUGGGCUUCUGAAGAGGGUGCUCUGGGAAGGGUGACCUUUGCGGAGACACAGUUUAACAAAUAGUGCUGAAAACCGAGGGAGGAGAGAGAGAAUGAAUUAUCCUGGUGAUUGGAAGACAAAGCACUUCUUUGCUGCUGCUGUUUAGGAUGAUGAACUGUGCCAAAAAAUGAAGAGGAGAAAAAUGAAAGAAAGAAAGAAAGAAAGAAAGAAAGAAAGAAAGAAAGAACCUCUUCAGGGUGUUUAUCCAACCAGCAUGUUUGCUCAUUUUGUAUCUUAGCUCAUGCAUAAUGCCAAUGAGAUGGAAAGAACCUGCUUUGCUAUCAAGGGGGACAAAGGCAGCAGAUCUACGGUUCACCAUGGGCUAUCGGCAAAUGUAGGCAGGCUAAUGAAUCAAUCUAUCUUCUGGAUUCACUGGACCAAACGUGCACAUAUGCAGGGAAGCAGCAGACAGCGUCUACUACUCUCACCCUCGGAUUCACUCGCAGUAGCUGUGCCACAGCCCGGCAGCUGCCUCAGCAGUUGAAGGAUGAGGAUUCCAUGCACAUUUCCAUGGGGAAAAUUACUUUUCAUUCCAGAUUUGCUCCAUGUUCCAGCAUUUGGCCUUUUUGUGCAUUCCAAAAGCAAAUGAAACGGCAGCUGGAAAGUGAAGACUCCAGGACUGUCUCAAUGGCACUUUGUUCGUCUCAUCCAUUUGGAGACCCUCUAGUGCUCUAACAACCUUUAUUGCAGACUCAUAUAGCCCUCUUAGGUAUCGUAUCUACUCUGCAGAUGGGGAAGAUGAGCAUGGAGAUACCACAGAGCUUAGCACAGGGAACGGCUUAGAAAAAAAAGCUACCCUCCACCACAGAGGGAUUGUAUGACUUUAUCCAACUUCUCACCAUGAGUCUGUGGCACUGCCAAAACUAGAACCCAGGAAGCCUGACACCCAGCCCUGGUCUUUAGCCAAUGUCCAUUCACCCUGCAGAGCAGUGGCCACUGAAAAUGCACCAAUUAGCUGGGGACCAGGUAGAGCUACUAUUAGCUAGGAAGGCUAGUCUGCAAUCUAUUAUGAUGAAGCCUAUUUGCAUGUCCAGAGAAAUUCUCAUUAGUCGGUGUGAGUGCUGGGCACAGAAAAAGUGCUUGGAGCAGACGUGCCGUGGUUCCAGAAAAUGGAGUGAGCCGCAGCCACUGCUGACACCCAGAAUGGCCCAGACACUCGUCCUGUUAAGGAAACAAAGUAGAAAUGGCAUUUCUGAAUAAGCCUGACAGUUCACCCGGUUUGAAACCCAUUGAGUUGUGACGCAGUGUAUUUCAGAAGCACUGAUAGAAUUAAAGAAAUGUUAAUGUAUGCUGUUUGCUCGCCUCCUGCCUACACAGCAAGAAGAGGGGAAGUCUGCAAGGGAGCUGAGCAUGGCUUUGUGACCGGAGAGAAAGAGGUCAUGCUGGACUCUGUGCUGCCUGGUGUUAAACAAAGGCCAGUAUGAAUUCCAUAGGUCUGCCAGGAGCUGAGGAAUUUCCAGAGCAAUGUGAAGCCAUGUGCAGUCCUGAUCCCUCCUGCACAAAGAGACUGUGUUUUAUUUACUGGAGCUGUGUGCAGGGUCUAUAUAACAGGGAAAUUCUUGUGCAGAUCUGUCAUUCAGUUCUCCAGCUUGAUGCAUUGGGGCCAGAUUCCCCACUGCCUUCCCCCUCAGGUGUUUUUCACUCCUGGGCACAGUGGUCAGUGCGUUGCACGCACUUUGCCCAGGUGCAAAGGAUGAUGCGAGGAGCAAGUCAUUGGAAAAUCAUCCUCUUCGGUUGUUAACUGUGCAGAGUUCUUCCUUCCACACCCCCUGUAUUUUUUGGCCUUGAGUGUUUUUAAUGACAGCCUUCAUGGUUUGAUAGAGAAUUUUACACUAAUG